CUCUCCGAUGACGAUUAAAAAUUACUUUCGUUCUUCUGAAGCUGCAAUGUGGAAGAACAAUCUGGAGACCUGAACUGAGGAGAU
rnacentral:snoRNA from 1 species